rnacentral:lncRNA from 1 species
CCCUGCACUUCCGAGACUGACCAUCCCCACCUCCCACCCAAAAAAAAAUAAUCUCUUUGAGAUAGUGCAAUCCCCACUGCACAGCCCCCCACCACCAGCCAAGAGCACAGCCCACCCCCAGGGCAGGCUCUGCUCUUGGCUGUUCACCACACAGCUCCAAAACAAACACCACACUACUGCCCACACAACCAACCUCAUACCCAACACAACCAGCCACAAGACAUUCCCUCCACCAGCCUCAAAACAAAAAACACACACACCAAAGGCCACCAGAAGACAAAAGAGACCACCACACCAGCCUGCCACUGUACUGCCAACAACCAAAUAAAGCCAGACAGCUCCCAAGAAAAACCACCACCAAACCCAACAACCAGCACACCACAAAGCCAACUCCACCUACCACACCAAAACCACCCAAGCCACUUUCUACCACCAGCCUCCUAACCAAAAAAAAAAAAAGCCCCACCACAAGACCACCAGCAAACAAGCCUGCCACAUCACCAACACAAACCUCUUACACACCAAAGCCAGCCAGCCACCUAAGCAAACACAAACAGAGCCAAGACAGCACAACACCCCAGGCCUACCUGCUGGCUCUGCUCCUCCUCAUCACAGCUCCCAGGAUCUCCAUCUUCCAUGCAGGAAAACAGCCACGCCAGGACCCUUAACUCCACUCCUCCGGGACAGGACCUGCCACACACCUUCCACCCUGUCACAAAAGCACAUCGUCACCCACACAGCCACUGCCUCCAGCCCCGGGGCACCACCCACCUCACAGGUAACAUGCAGCUCACCUUGCUCCACAGGGGCGCCCCACUCACACCACCAGGAUCCUGCCUCCAGCCUGAACCUGCACAGAGACCUCCAUCAACCACCUCCAAGGGGGCGCUCCUGGGGGCAGCCCUCCACCACGAGGGCUCCCGCCUGGGGCUCCCCCUCUCUCACCUCCUUCAUCCCACCACUGGGAAAACUGCACACCUGCUCCAGCCAAUCCUCUCUGCAGCCUUCACCCUGCAACAAGAGCACAGAUCACACAGCCAGACAGAAUGCCAAGGCCCCACUGCAAAGCACCCACACGCAACUGGAACGGGGCCCAGGGAACCGGACUCCACAACCUCCCCAGGCACUCCUCUCCCAUCCCGCUCACAGGGAAAUCAUUCUUCUUCCUCUUGAAUGAGAAAUUCUGGUGAUACCAAACAUGCACACUGCCCCCCUACUGCCACACACACGCCACUCAUCCCCGUCAACUGGGCUCCUGCACAGCAGGCAUUGCUAUCUGCCACCCUCCUCUCCUCUAACUGCACAAUCAAGACAACGCACAAAGCUACCUUUUGGUCCGGCAUGACUUCUCCUCUGUCCAUCCACCUGGACUGCUCCUUGCAAAUACCUUCUCCUCCAGUCACAUGGCAAUGACACCUGCAACAAGCUGUUGCGUCACCUCCCCAGGAACAGACAUGAGGCCAACCUACCUCCAAGUUGCACACGCCAUCCUCCACACCCUUUCUGAAGGCUGCGGUGGCAUCCGCCAUCCUCCAGUCUUCAGGUACCUUUCCCACAGGAAACAGCAGGGAAAAAGUGACAGAGAGCUAUUGCCAGUCACCGCUGCCAGCUCUCAGCGGGCACAGACAUAGCCCUCUACAGCUCAGAGAUUUGCUGGCCUCCUUUCUGCCUGAACUACCUUUGACCAGCUCCUCCGCAACUGAGGGGAAGACAUCCUUCCUCAGGGACUCUCUCCUCCAGGACCCCAGGUUCCCCAGGAGCACUCUCAGCAGAAACCACUGAAACCCAAGAGGCCUCCGCCUUGUAAAGCACAGGCCUGCAAUUUCUCCAGUCUCUCCUGUUGACAAACUUCCAUUAGCCUUGACCUCCCUCCCAAAGCUGAUACUCAGAGGGACUUGGCCUUCCUCAGCCUCUCUCUUCCUUCUCCCCUUCAAGUUCCUCAGUCAGCCCUGCAGGUCCCCCACCAUUCCGGCGCAGUUCCUUCCUCCUUGGGACGCAGCGCACCUCAGCAUGGACGAAGUAAUGCUCCAGCAUUCACAGGACCCCUUCCUAUGCUUGAGCAAGGGUUACCUCCAAGUAGGCCCUUCAAGAGGACAAACUUGGCUCCCUCCAAGUCCAGUGUUUCAAUCCUACUCAUUGCUUUGCAGCUUCCACACAAGAUCCCAAACACUGUGGUCUCACGACUGGCACGCUCCAGGCUGCCCCUGGCCUUCCUGUCCCCAAAUGGCUCUUCUGCAAUAGGGAGCUCCAGCAGCCCCUCUCCUCAAUGCCUCCUUCAUCACCUGUGUCAGAAGAUCUUACCUUUGACACAUUGCAGGAAACUCCUGGAGCCUACCAUGAGAACUAGCCUCACAGCUGUGGGCACCAUUUCCAGCUGUGUGCAGAAGGUCUAUCAGCUUCCUCACCCUGGUCUGUGACCAACACCACCACUCAUGUUACCCACUUUUACCUGCCUCUUCAGCCUCACGCACAAACGCUCCGCUGGUUCUUCAUUCACCCCUAGGUGGAGCUCGAUACGUUCCCGUUCUCUCCCUCGAAGAGAGACUCCACCGCCUGGCCGGUCUGUCUUUCCUAAAAAGAACAGAGCCAUCCACGACAGCACUCCAGUCGUGCGAGCUGCCCUGCCAGGUCUCCACGAUGGGAACCUAAAUCGUGCUCCUGCAGUUACACGGGAAGGAAGAGGCGGGAAAAAAAAAAACCACGGUCCCAACCUGCUCGCUCCCACCGCUGGAAACGGGAUGGGUGAGAGCACCCGCAAAACACUCCGCAGUGGCCGAGGCCACCCCGGGAUCGUGCUCGGUCUCGGGCGGAGGCCCCGUGCCGGUCCUACUAAAAAGCCACACGGGAGCCCAGCGGCGGCGCCGUGCCGAUCCCAAAGACAGAGGCAGUCGAGCAGCAACCCUACAGGAGCCCCAACACGAGAGAUCUUACCGAGCGACUCUCAAACACUCACCGCUUCCACGAGCUCACUGCUUCGGGCCGAUGAGAGCCUCUGCUGCAGCCCUCGCUCAGCCUGCAACACGAGAAACCUUUUGUUUCAACAACCCUUCGCUUCGCUUCCCUCUCCCGGCAGCACAGAGGCUGCACGAAUACGGCCCCAUCGCGUUCGCUCCUACCGAGGAGAGCCUGAAGAACUGAAGCACCCGCUGAAAGAAAUCCCGAGGAUGGGGGGGGCUGAGAGCACCCCGGGGCUGCGCGAGAACUCGGGGGUCUGAGCGGCAGCCGCCUCCAAGAAUGCGACGGCGGCCGGGCGACGGCGGCGAUGCCGUAUCGGCUCCGCACAGCCGGGGGAGCCCGGCGGCGACCUAACGCCGGCCCCGAGAAGAGCGGGGUCCGACAGCCGCCUGCUCCGGAGAUCCUGGCGGCUCCCGAGCGCUCACCGUCCCCUUACUACUCGAACCGCUCACCUGUUUGGGCUGGUCCUUACCGCGAAAGGUCUCACAGCAGCCUGAAACAAAACGACACCACGAGAACAUUAAAGAGAACCUCAAGGCUCCGUCCCCCCCCAAAAAACCCCGCGUACCGCUUCUCAGCCUCAGCAGCGUCAGGGCCCGACAAAGAAACAGAACUCACUCCGUCUCCUAUCCACAACCGCAGAAACUCCCCCGUGGCUCCCGGCAGCCUCCGGAGGAGCUUAAGAGGCUUUGGGGCGGGCCCCGCCCGCGGCUCCCGACGAGGCGCAGCUGCGCCCGGCCGGCCGCGGCCCCGCGGCACCUGGGAGUCGUUGCCUCCUUAGCGCAGCCGGCCUCGUUAGGGACGGCCCGGGGCUCUGACAGUUUGACGUGCGGACUCCGGAUCUGAAUUAGGGACUUAAAUUACACUUUGAAGUACAGUUUGUUACGCGCUUCUCCUUCUCGCCGCACUGUGGGAUUCAUCGAUAAGUUAAGUAAUUGUGCCAAUUCAAACGGGUCGCUUUGCAUCCGACGCGACCGGCGCGAUAGAGCGUCUCCCCUCCGAAGAACGUUCCCGGCCUUAACGGUUUCCAGGGGCCCCCGAUGGGUGCGUCUCCGCUCCGCUUUCCAUCGCCCCAAUUCCGAACAAAAGAAAAAGGAAAAAAAAAAUAAAUUAAUUAAUAAGAAAAAUAAGUCUUGUUGGAACAAACGUGCAGACCUUCACUGCUCAGGGGGACUACAAACCAAAGUAAAACUAGGGGCCGGCAAAAACAUGGUGCUCCACAGUCUUAAUUUAAUAAAACCUCCUGAAACAGUGUGAAAUUCAGAAGCCUGUGGUCGGGCUGAAGCGUGGUGUGCUGGCUGGCAGAUGUUUGGAAAGGUGCUAAGAUGUAACUCUUACUGUCCAUAGAAUUUGCUGUUAACCACUUGCAAGAUACAAAGUGACGGCCAGCUGGAUGAAUAGGAGAAUGUAUGUGAACACCCGGAACUGACAGACCCGGGACAGUGCAUGUGGCUUGAAGUGGGCACUGAGAGAAAGCUCAGACAAUGUAUAUACAUGCUUUUAACAUUCAAAUUAAUUUCCAUCGGGACACGACUUAAUUAAGGUGAGCUGUACAAAGUUCAUCUCAUUUCCCUUUACGCUCCAUUCCAUACACAAUGUAUGUUACCAGAGAGAUACUGCGCUAUGCUUCACUACUUUAAUCACUGUCCUGUCCCAUUGUAGUUCAGGAACGCAUGCAAGUGUACUGUUCUUAUUAGAGGCACGGUCUGGAAAAUAUGGCCGGGGAGCUGAACAGCAUUUCUAUUUCAGCUGCUGAAGCGCCCACUAACUUUGGAUGUCGCCUAAACCUUCAGAUGGAAUCCUUGCAGGCAUUCCCGUGGGGAUUGGGAAAUUGCAGUAUGCCGGAACUACCGUUGCUGAUGUGGGGCGAGCGCUCUGAAGUGCACUUGGAGAAGGACGCAUUCCAAUCCCGCAUAUAUGAAAAGUUUAAUAUUUUAGACAGCUAGAUGAAAUGCUGGGGUCUUGGUGCAUUUUGCUUUGGCGGUCCAGGCUUUGAACAUCUUAGGGAAAUGUUUGGAAAUGAAUUUGAUUUUCACAACUGUGAUACAAUUACAAGGCGGGGAUGUUUCAGUCUUCUCAACGAGGUGCCCUUGGUGGUGGUGGUCUGUAAAUGGCUACAGAACUGACAGAGAACUCUGCAAGCAUUUUCUUCGCCCCAUUUGCCCAGUCUGCCCGCCUCUGUGAUCCCCCGCAGCACUGGCUGGAAGUCCGCCGCGUGUCAGUGAGGAGCUGCUGCAGAAGGAAGAAGAAGAAGCGGCGUGGGGACCUGGGAGGCAGGAGCAAGCAAGAAGAGGAAGCGGAAGCGUGCAGAUGCGGGGGGGAAGGAGAGAGGCUCCCUGGGCAAAGCACCUGUCCCGUUAGCAGGGGCACAGUCACGUUUGAGUUGAGAGCUGC